rnacentral:rRNA from 1 species
AGCUCCAAUAGCGUAUAUUAAAGUUGUUGCAGUUAAAAAGCUCGUAGUUGGAUCUGUGGCGUGUGGUGGGCUCCGGGCACUUGUUGUCUGAGUAGCUCGCCGCUGCCAUCCUUGGGUGGAACCUGUGUGGCAUUAGGUUGUCGUGCAGGGGAUGCCCAUCGUUUACUGUGAAAAAAUUAGAGUGUUCAAAGCAGGCUUAUGCCGUUGAAUAUAUUAGCAUGGAAUAAUGAGAUAGGACUUUUUCGCUAUUUUGUUGGUUUGCGCGAAGAGGUAAUGAUUAAUAGGGACAGUUGGGGGUAUUCGUAUUCCAUUGUCAGAGGUGAAAUUCUUGGAUUUUUGGAAGACGAACUACUGCGAAAGCAUUUACCAAGGAUGUUUUCAUUAAUCAAGAACGAAAGUA